rnacentral:rRNA from 1 species
AGCAGUAGCCACGGGAACACAGAGGGUGCGAGCGUUAAUCGGAUUUACUGGGCGUAAAGCGUGCGUAGGCGGCUUUUUAAGUCGGAUGUGAAAUCCCUGAGCUUAACUUAGGAAUUGCAUUCGAUACUGGGAAGCUAGAGUAUGGGAGAGGAUGGUAGAAUUCCAGGUGUAGCGGUGAAAUGCGUAGAGAUCUGGAGGAAUACCGAUGGCGAAGGCAGCCAUCUGGCCUAAUACUGACGCUGAGGUACGAAAGCAUGGGGAGCAAACAGGAUUAGAUACCCCCGUAGUCCCUGUCUCUUAUAC